rnacentral:rRNA from 1 species
UACGGGAGGCAGCAGUGGGGAAUAUUGCACAAUGGGCGCAAGCCUGAUGCAGCCAUGCCGCGUGUAUGAAGAAGGCCUUCGGGUUGUAAAGUACUUUCAGUCGUGAGGAAGGUGUUAAGGUUAAUAACCUUAGCAAUUGACGUUAGCGACAGAAGAAGCACCGGCUAACUCCGUGCCAGCAGCCGCGGUAAUACGGAGGGUGCGAGCGUUAAUCGGAAUUACUGGGCGUAAAGGGCACGCAGGCGGUUAAUUAAGUUGGAUGUGAAAUCCCCGGGCUUAACCUGGGAAUGGCAUUCAAGACUGGUUAGCUAGAGUCUUGUAGAGGGGGUAGAAUUCCAUGUGUAGCGGUGAAAUGCGUAGAGAUGUGGAGGAAUACCGGUGGCGAAGGCGGCCCCUGGACAAAGACUGACGCUCAUGUGCGAAAGCGUGGGGAGCAACAGGGAUUAGAUACC